rnacentral:rRNA from 1 species
UACGUAGGUGACCAGCGUUGUCCGGAUUUACUGGGCGUAAAGAGCGCGCAGGCGGUCGUUCAAGUCGAGUGUGAAAGCCCCCGGCUCAACUGGGGAGGGUCAUUCGAUACUGAUCGACUUGAAGGCAGGAGAGGGAAGUGGAAUUCCCGGUGUAGUGGUGAAAUGCGUAGAUAUCGGGACGAACACCAGUGGCGAAGGCGGCAUCCUGGACCAACACUGACGCUGAGUGAGCGAAAGCCAGGGGAGCAAACGGG